CGACGUCGGUUCCUCUUCCUGCGCUCAGUGAAGCAGGAGGAUUUUACGACGUCGCAGAGAAACUCGGGUCUUUUUCACCCAGGAAGCUUCGGGCUGCGGCCCAACGACACAGCUUCCUGGUUUUGCGGGACCCAACAAAC